CCUUACUCUUCGCUCUUCUCUAUCCCUAACAAGAAAACGGGAGAGGGUUCACUUCGAACUCCAUUUCUGACCUGAGGGGCCGUAAAAGGAGACGGCGACAGCAGUGCCGGCGAAGGCCAGGACGACGUCAGGAGUCGAACCGUCGCCUGUGGCGGUUUCGUUUUCGAAGCUCUUUGCAUGUGUUGACCGCUUCGAUUGGUUCCUCAUGACCGUCGGCUCCCUUGCUGCCGUGGCUCAUGGCACCGCGCUCAUCAUUUACUUGCACUAUUUCGCGAAGAUCAUCCACGUGCUGCGAAUGGAUCUUAAACUCGGCAUGUCACACGAGCAGUUUAACAGGUUCACCGAGUUGGAAACUUUAUCUAUCAAAUUUACUGACCAAAGAGGUCGGAGAGGGGAUUAAGAGAGCUGGAAGGGUAAAGAGGAUUGGGGGAAUUCUGUGAGAUCUGACAAGUAGGAACUACCAUUGGAGCUGGAGAAAAACCUUUGAAGUCAAGGUUUCUUACUGGAAUCGAGGUAAAAUAUAUAAUUUGGGAAGCACCAUUCACCACGAGGCUAUUAAAGAUGUAUGUUGCUAGUGGUGGUUGUAGAUAUUAGAGGUGUAAGUUUUUCUUUCUAUUUUGAUUCCUUCCUAUAUUAUUAUUAUGAUGUGAUGGAUGUCUACCUUUUGUAUAGGUCUUUGGAAGCUCAUUUCUAUCCGUUUCUAAGAAGAAGAUGGAAAUAAUCACACCUAAUGUAAGAGAAGGAACCGAGCUUCUUUUAUUUUAAGUGUUAAUAGAAACUUGGAUACAAUUCAACAGUGUAUGUAUAUUAAUGUAAUAUUUGGAUUUAAUAUAUAGUUUCAUGUAUAAAUGAUGUAUUAAA